rnacentral:rRNA from 1 species
AGAGUUUGAUCCUGGCUCAGAUUGAACGCUGGCGGCAGGCCUAACACAUGCAAGUCGAGCGGUAGAGAGAAGCUUGCUUCUCUUGAGAGCGGCGGACGGGUGAGUAAUACCUAGGAAUCUGCCUGAUAGUGGGGGAUAACGUUCGGAAACGGACGCUAAUACCGCAUACGUCCUACGGGAGAAAGCAGGGGACCUUCGGGCCUUGCGUUAUCAGAUGAGCCUAGGUCGGAUUAGCUAGUUGGUGAGGUAAUGGCUCACCAAGGCUACGAUCCGUAACUGGUCUGAGAGGAUGAUCAGUCACACUGGAACUGAGACACGGUCCAGACUCCUACGGGAGGCAGCAGUGGGGAAUAUUGGACAAUGGGCGAAAGCCUGAUCCAGCCAUGCCGCGUGUGUGAAGAAGGUCUUCGGAUUGUAAAGCACUUUAAGUUGGGAGGAAGGGCAUUAACCUAAUACGUUAGUGUUUUGACGUUACCGACAGAAUAAGCACCGGCUAACUCUGUGCCAGCAGCCGCGGUAAUACAGAGGGUGCAAGCGUUAAUCGGAAUUACUGGGCGUAAAGCGCGCGUAGGUGGUUUGUUAAGUUGAAUGUGAAAUCCCCGGGCUCAACCUGGGAACUGCAUCCAAAACUGGCAAGCUAGAGUAUGGUAGAGGGUAGUGGAAUUUCCUGUGUAGCGGUGAAAUGCGUAGAUAUAGGAAGGAACACCAGUGGCGAAGGCGACUACCUGGACUGAUACUGACACUGAGGUGCGAAAGCGUGGGGAGCAAACAGGAUUAGAUACCCUGGUAGUCCACGCCGUAAACGAUGUCAACUAGCCGUUGGGAGUCUUGAACUCUUAGUGGCGCAGCUAACGCAUUAAGUUGACCGCCUGGGGAGUACGGCCGCAAGGUUAAAACUCAAAUGAAUUGACGGGGGCCCGCACAAGCGGUGGAGCAUGUGGUUUAAUUCGGAGCAACGCGAAGAACCUUACCAGGCCUUGACAUCCAAUGAACUUUCUAGAGAUAGAUUGGUGCCUUCGGGAACAUUGAGACAGGUGCUGCGUGGCUGUCGUCAGCUCGUGUCGUGAGAUGUUGGGUUAAGUCCCGUAACGAGCGCAACCCUUGUCCUUAGUUACCAGCACGUAAUGGUGGGCACUCUAAGGAGACUGCCGGUGACAAACCGGAGGAAGGUGGGGAUGACGUCAAGUCAUCAUGGCCCUUACGGCCUGGGCUACACACGUGCUACAAUGGUCGGUACAAAGGGUUGCCAAGCCGCGAGGUGGAGCUAAUCCCAUAAAACCGAUCGUAGUCCGGAUCGCAGUCUGCAACUCGACUGCGUGAAGUCGGAAUCGCUAGUAAUCGUGAAUCAGAAUGUCACGGUGAAUACGUUCCCGGGCCUUGCACUCACCGCCCGUCA